UCCCCUCUCCCAGAGCGCAGAGGCUUUGAAGGCUACCUCUGGGAAGCCGCUCACCGUCGGAAGCUGCGGGAGCUGAAACUGCGCCAUCGUCACUGUCGGCGGCCAUGACACCGCUCGUCUCCCGCCUGAGUCGUCUGUGGGCCAUCAUGAGGAAGCCACGAGCAGCCGUGGGAAGUGGUCACAGGAAGCAGGCAGCCAGCCAGGAAGGGAGGCAGAAGCAUGCUAAGAACAACAGUCAGGCCAAGCCUUCUGCCUGUGAUGGCCUGGCCAGGCAGCCGGAAGAGGUGGUAUUGCAGGCCUCUGUCUCCUCAUACCAUCUAUUCAGAGACAUAGCUGAAGUCACAGCCUUCCGAGGGAGCCUGCUAAGCUGGUACGACCAAGAGAAACGGGACCUACCAUGGAGAAGACGGGCAGAAGAUGAGAUGGACCUGGACAGGCGGGCAUAUGCUGUGUGGGUCUCAGAGGUCAUGCUGCAGCAGACCCAGGUUGCCACUGUGAUCAACUACUAUACCGGAUGGAUGCAGAAGUGGCCUACACUGCAGGACCUGGCCAGUGCUUCCCUGGAGGAGGUGAAUCAACUCUGGGCUGGCCUGGGCUACUAUUCUCGUGGCCGGCGGCUGCAGGAGGGAGCUCGGAAGGUGGUAGAGGAGCUAGGGGGCCACAUGCCACGUACAGCAGAGACCCUGCAGCAGCUCCUGCCUGGCGUGGGCCGCUACACAGCUGGGGCCAUUGCCUCUAUCGCCUUUGGCCAGGCAACCGGUGUGGUGGAUGGCAACGUAGCACGGGUGCUGUGCCGUGUCCGAGCCAUUGGUGCUGAUCCCAGCAGCACCCUUGUUUCCCAGCAGCUCUGGGGUCUAGCCCAGCAGCUGGUGGACCCAGCCCGGCCAGGAGAUUUCAACCAAGCAGCCAUGGAGCUAGGGGCCACAGUGUGUACCCCACAGCGCCCACUGUGCAGCCAGUGCCCUGUGGAGAGCCUGUGCCGGGCACGCCAGAGAGUGGAGCGGGAACAGCUCUUAGCCUCACGGAGCCUGUCGGGCAGUCCUGACGUGGAGGAGUGUGCUCCCAACACCGGACAGUGCCACCUGUGCCUGCCUCCCUCGGAGCCCUGGGACCAGACCCUGGGAGUGGUCAACUUCCCCAGAAAGGCCAGCCGCAAGCCCCCCAGGGAGGAGAGCUCUGCCACCUGUGUUCUGGAACAGCCUGGGGCCCUUGGGGCCCAAAUUCUGCUGGUGCAGAGGCCCAACUCAGGUCUGCUGGCAGGACUGUGGGAGUUCCCGUCCGUGACCUGGGAGCCCUCAGAGCAGCUUCAGCGCAAGGCCCUGCUGCAGGAACUACAGCGUUGGGCUGGGCCCCUCCCAGCCACGCGCCUCCGGCACCUUGGGGAGGUUGUCCACACCUUCUCUCACAUCAAGCUGACGUAUCAAGUAUAUGGGCUGGCCUUGGAAGGGCAGACCCCAGUGACCACCGUACCACCAGGUGCUCGCUGGCUGACCCAGGAGGAAUUUCACACCGCAGCUGUUUCCACCGCCAUGAAAAAGGUUUUCCGUGUGUAUCAGGGCCAACAGCCAGGGACCUGUAUGUAGAGACAGGGUUUCACCAUGUUGACUAGGCUGGUCUCGAACUCCUGACCUCAAGUGAUCUGCCCAUCUUGGCCUCCCAAAGUGCUGGGAUUACAGGCGUGAGCCACCACACCCAUCCAUGGGAGCUAUCAGUUCUAAUUGGGAGACGGAUCAGGAAAGGCUGUUUGGAGGAAGCAGCUGGGUUCCAAAAGGUCCCAGGUGUCCUCUCCGUGCAGUCGGAAAAAGCCCCGCAUGGGCCAGCAAGUCCUGGAUAAUUUCUUUCGGUCUCACAUCUCCACUGAUGCACACAGCCUCAACAGUGCAGCCCAGUGACACCUCUGAAAGCCCCCAUUCCCUGAGAAUCCUGUUGUUAAUAAAGUGCUUAUUUUUGUAGUUA